AUGAGGUCGGCUAGAGAUGGCGAGAUGCGCCCUUCAAGUCCUUUAGAUGCCAGGGAGAUCUCAGUGACGGCCCCAUCUCCAUUGCAAAUGAUGCCUUCCCACUCGCAGCAGUCUGUCUCAUGGCGCCACGACGCGGCGAGGGUUCCAUCUCCCGACGUCCCAGCGAGGAACUGGAGAAGUGCAUGCUUCUCCUGCUCGGUGCAUGAGGUGGUGGGAGAGACCAAGGAGAGUAGCAGGAACAACUGCAGCACGGCCGGAGGAAUGUUGAAGGAAUGCAUUGGUUGGUGUUUUUUCCUCUCCCUUCUUGUUUUUCUGUUGCUUGAAGAAUGCAUGUGGGGCUAG
rnacentral:rRNA from 1 species